CAGCCUGUUUUCUUCUUAAGUCUUACAACCUAUGUCUCUUGACUCUCCCAAGUCUGCGGGCCUGUGCAGAUGAUGUUCCUCCUACCUCUGGCGGAUGAUGACAGCUGCAGCCCACUGCUCUGUAUAAGCAAGCAUGUCAGAAAGCUUGGAGUACCUCAGCUGCCCUUUACAGAACAAAAGCAUCCUCUUGAGUAGCUAAAGCUUGGACUUCUAAGUAAGGCAUCCAUGAGGAGAUCAUCCUGACUCUGUUGACAUUCUGAAGUAAUGCUCAAUGCCAAGAAAUCUCCUUGACCUUUAAAAACCUAUUUGGCAAGUUUCUUCUCAGUCAUCAGCUAUUGAUUAACAGUGCUCAUCCAACUCAUCCUUACUGAAUUGUCUUUCUUUGCUUGAUGCUGUAGAAGUGCUGAAAGAGCCCAUAGUGAUAACUGCCUUUCUUCUUUUCUUCUGUGAUUCCCACUCAGGAUUGUUUUAUUAUCCAUUCCUAGGUGUAAACCUGUAUUAUACUGUGUUUUGUUAUGACACA